CAAUAGCGUAUAUUUAAGUUGCUGCAGUUAAAAAGCUCGUAGUUGGAUUUCGGGUUGGCUUCAGCGGUCUCGCUUUGCGUUUGUACUGCUGCAGCCUACCUUCUUGUCGGGGACGGGCCUUCGGGCUUAAUUGCUUGGGGCCCGGAGUCGACGAUGUUACUUUGAGUAAAUUAGAGUGUUCAAAGCAAGCCUACGCUCUGAAUAUAAUAGCAUGGGAUAACACGACAGGACUCUGGCCUAUCGUGUUGGUCUGUAGGACCAGAGUAAUGAUUAAGAGGGACAGUCGGGGGCAUUCGUAUUCCGUUGUCAGAGGUGAAAUUCUUGGAUUUACGGAAGACGAACAUCUGCGAAAGCAUUUGCCAAGGAUGUUUUCAUUGA
rnacentral:rRNA from 1 species